AACUUCGGGAAACCGAAGCUAAUACCGGAUAGGAUCUUCUCCUUCAUGGGAGAUGAUUGAAAGAUGGUUUCGGCUAUCACUUACAGAUGGGCCCGCGGUGCAUUAGCUAGUUGGUGAGGUAACGGCUCACCAAGGCAACGAUGCAUAGCCGACCUGAGAGGGUGAUCGGCCACACUGGGACUGAGACACGGCCCAGACUCCUACGGGAGGCAGCAGUAGGGAAUCUUCCGCAAUGGACGAAAGUCUGACGGAGCAACGCCGCGUGAGUGAUGAAGGCUUUCGGGUCGUAAAACUCUGUUGUUAGGGAAGAACAAGUACAAGAGUAACUGCUNGUACCUUGACGGUACCUAACCAGAAAGCCACGGCUAACUACGUGCCAGCAGCCGCGGUAAUACGUAGGUGGCAAGCGUUAUCCGGAAUUAUUGGGCGUAAAGCGCGCGCAGGCGGUUUCUUAAGUCUGAUGUGAAAGCCCACGGCUCAACCGUGGAGGGUCAUUGGAAACUGGGGAACUUGAGUGCAGAAGAGAAAAGCGGAAUUCCACGUGUAGCGGUGAAAUGCGUAGAGAUGUGGAGGAACACCAGUGGCGAAGGCGGCUUUUUGGUCUGUA
rnacentral:rRNA from 1 species